rnacentral:ribozyme from 13 species
GAAUGGAAGAAGAAGGGAGAGAGGAAGGAAGAGAAGAGGAGAAGCUAGCAGUGAGAGAGGUUGUUACUGGAGCGUUCACAAGCUCCAUUUUCCUCUCUUUUCUCUUUUUCUUUCUCUCUUUCUCUUUCCUUUUUCCUUUCUC